rnacentral:rRNA from 1 species
UUGGCUUAGAAGGAGCCGUCAUUUACAUAUAGCGUAAGAGCUCACUGGUCGAGGCGGCCUGCGCGGAAGAUGGAACGGGGCUGAGUAGUAAGCCGAAGCUGCCGCAAUUUACUUUUGUAUAUUGGGUCGGGGAGCUUUCUGUAAGCGGUUGAAGGUGUGUGGUAAGUCAUGCUGACCGAAGCAGAAGUUCGAAUGCUGAGAUGAGUAACGAGAAAGGGGGUGAAAAACCUCCUCGCCGGAAGUCCAAGGGUUCCUGUCCAACGUUAGUCGGGGCAGGGUAAGUCGACCCCUAAGGCGAUGCCGAAAGGCGUAGUCGAUGGGAAACGGGGUAAUCUUGCCGUACUUCUUGCAAUUGCGAGGGGGGGACGAAGAAGGCUAAGUGGGCCUGGCGACGGUUGUCCAGGUUCAAGUGCGUAGGCUUAAGAG